rnacentral:rRNA from 1 species
AUUGAACGCUGGCGGCAGGCCUAACACAUGCAAGUCGAACGGUAGCACAGAGAGCUUGCUCUCGGGUGACGAGUGGCGGACGGGUGAGUAAUGUCUGGGAAACUGCCCGAUGGAGGGGGAUAACUACUGGAAACGGUAGCUAAUACCGCAUAACGUCGCAAGACCAAAGUGGGGGACCUUCGGGCCUCACACCAUCGGAUGUGCCCAGAUGGGAUUAGCUGGUAGGUGGGGUAAUGGCUCACCUAGGCGACGAGCCCUAGCUGGUCUGAGAGGACGACCAGCCACACUGGCACUGAGACACGGUCCAGACUCCUACGGGGGGCAGCAGUGGGAAAUAUUGCACAAUGGGCGCAAGCCUGAUGCAGACAUGCCGCGUGUAUGAAGAAGGCCUUCGGGUUGUAAAGUACUUUCAGCGGGGAGGAAGGCGGUGAAGUUAAUAACUUCACCGAUUGACGUUACCCGCAGAAGAAGCACCGGCUAACUCCGUGCCAGCAGCCGCGGUAA